ACUAAAAACUCAACUAGCUAGUUAGUUUCUCCCUCACCGGCAAUGGAAAGAAACUUUCUUUAGUUUAUCUAUCGAAACCCUAACAACUAAGUUCGUCCCUUCCGGGACAUCCGAUAAAAUUGGAACGAUACAGAGAAGAUUAGCAUGGCCCCUGCGCAAGGAUGACACGCACAAAUCGAGAAAUGGUCCAAAUUUUUUUUACACGCCAUUUUCGUGGAUUUUGCUUUUUUAUUCAGCUGAAAUCUCUAACCUGAGUGCAUUACAAAUAUUGUAUUGAGCAACCUUUUGGUCCUGGAAGAUUUAGGUCAAAUAGAAUUAUGGCAAAGGAAUACAAAAAAAAGAGCCGCACAGGAAGACUCAUUUGAGGUGUAUUUGGUGUUGUUGUUGUUGUUGAUUUUCAGUCUUGACGGAACUCGACUAUCUUAGUUGGGAAAUGAAAGGAACUGGACGAGGAAAAAGUGGGAGAGGCGGGACGAGCUGUGGUCGUGGAAGUUUUCAAGGACUUGGCAAUUUUGGAGCGACGUCUCAUGAGAAGCACUAUCUUGUUCCAAGAUGGAAAUUGGCAAAAAAUAGUUUUGAAACACGGAGAAGCAAUGUGGUUAAAGGUCAAGGUAACAAAUUAAUUUCAUAAGAUGUUAUACUUCAUGUUGCUCCCUGCUUUUGCACAAAUUUAAGAUGUUACAAUACAUGUUCCUCUUGGUAGCUUUUCAUCUUCAUUUGAAUUCAACCUCUCCUUCUUGGCUAUUUCAUUUUCUUGUGAGCUUUCCCGUCGAGAACUCAUUAUUAUUUAUCUGAUGGAUCGUUUUGUUGUUCGUGGUUGCGAUCAUAAUCCUCAAAUUUGAGAUGACUUAGCUAAGUUCUUGAAUUUUGUUCUCCAUUUUAUCCUUCUACAUCUCUGUAAAUGUGUGAGUAUCUUGAUUCAGUUAUUUAUUCUGAUGUGUUAUUAUGGUUCCAGGAUCAGGGUGUGGUGGAGGUAUUAUUGAGAUAGUUGCUUCUGAGGCCAAAACUUCCUUUCUUAUCCUCUGUAUCUUUUAAGAAAAGAGCUCUUCGAUGUGGAUUUUAAGUUGCAAGCAAGGAACCUGUUUCGGUAGAUUUUCCUUUUGCUGGUCCACUGUUGGCUUGUUGUUUGUAGUUCAUAUUUUGCUUGAUUUUCCCACAAGAUUGGUAUGGUAUUUGUUGUCAAUCUCUGCUUGAACAGUGUGAUGUGAGGUUCUGGAACCUUUACAUGUACUACCUCAUGAAAUUCCCACAAUUUCGAGGAAAAUGUUUGCUUCUUUAGAGCAAUUUCUAGCAUUUUGUGAGCUCAACAAUGACAUGAAUGAGGUGUACUACUUGCUUCUGUCCAUAUUGUCAAUGUUGGAAUGGGCAGUAGUGUCUUCAGUGUUAGAUAAGGCUUCAAUAUUGUAUUGACUUUAAGUUUCAAGGUUUAUUUAUGUGGUUAGGAUAUCGAAUAUAAUAUUACAUUUAUUGGCAGGAUAAAUUUAAAGUUUACAGCGGGCUGCAAGAGCAUAGGUUUCAAGCCUUUGUAAUUAGCACUAUGCAAAGGCUUUUUAGAGCAUGGAAAGCUCGAUUCAGCAGGCUGUACUCUAAGUACAAUACUAAUGAAGAAAGAUUGUCUCAUCGACCUGAAGAUGUUGAGCUUAAGGACUGGAAAUACCUAAUAAAUAUAUUAGAAGUCAGGAUUUUAAGGCUGUAAGUGAGAGAAACAAAAGAAAUAGAGAAAAGUAAAUAACUAAGCAUACUUGUGGUGCAAGGUCUUUUGCAGAAGUAGAGGAAACUACGGUAAAAAUAUAUUUAGUCUACCACAUAUACUUCUUUGUUAUUUACAUAUUUAUAUAUUUGCUUUUUUUUUUUCCUGAAAUUAUAUUGCAGAGAAAUCCUAUUACCGGAAAAAUAGACACACCGAAUAAAGUUUGGGAGAUCCAACAUACGCACAAGGAUGAUAGAGGAGAACUGGUGUGGGUG